rnacentral:lncRNA from 1 species
AUAUUGCUUUUCCUCUGUUUCUUUGUUAUUAUUAAUAUUCUUCCAACUAUUUUGUCCGCCACUUUUCUCGGAGACAAUGGAACCAAUCUUAAUGAUAGUUAAGUAUAAUAGGGAACACAAAAUUGCGGGUUGCAGUAGGGUCUAAGACCAUGAAAAAUGGCUGCCGUUUCCAUGGAAACGGCACAAUUGUGAAAAAUUCCACUUUUUGUUUUUUUGGAAUAAUUUGGAGAUGCUUAAACUCAGAAUCAUCAUAUUUUAAUACAAUGUAGGUGCCACCCAUAUACUGGUUUUGGAUGAUUUUGGCAAUCAUUGGAACUACUAUGUUGCCAUGGAAACUACACCAAAAAUUUCAAAAUUAUGAAAAUGCUCCAAAUUUUUUGAAACUUUAGCAUAACGAUGAGCAACUUUGGUAGAUGUGGAAUUUGGCGUUGGAAUUUCCAAAAUGUCUGCUGUUUCCAUGGAAACAAUGCGAAAAGGUCAAAAUGCUCCAAAAACUGUCGGGUUUGGUGAAUAACUUUGGUAUGCUUGAACUUAAAAUCAUCAAAUUUUAAUGCAAUAUAGUUGUCCACUAUAUCCAGGUUUUGAAUGAUUUUGACAAUCAUUGGAACUACUAUGUUACCAUGGAUACAGGAUCAAAUAUUUCAAAAUGCUCCAAAAUUAAUGAAACUUAAUAUGAUUGUUGACUGUCAAGACUGCAUCAGACUUUUGAAGUUGGAAUUUCCAAAAU